UAGUACGGCGAGCGAAGUGGGAAGAAGCCCAGGUCUGAAUCUCCCAGCUGGCAAUUGUCACGGUUGGGCGAAUUGUGGUCUGGAGAGGCGGACUGUCCCGAUCCACUGCUUGCGAGCCCGAAGUUGACUUGGAACGGCACGCCAGAGAGGGUGAGAGCCCCGUAGGGCCCGGAAAUCGGAAGCAGCGGGACGAGGGUCCGUACUCGUAGAGUCGGGUUGUUUGGGAAUGCAGCCCCAAGUGGGUGGUAGACUCCAUCCAAGGCUAAAUACGGGCGCGAGACCGAUAGCUGACAAGUACCGUGAGGGAAAGGUGAAAAGCACUUUGAAGAGAGAGUUCAAUAGACCGUGAAACCGUUGGGAGGGAAGCUCAGGGUGUCGAGGUUGUCGUGCUCUGUCUAAGUUCAGCCGGUGGUGUCGGGGUUGCCUUACGCUGCUGGUGCAUUCUUGGGCGGAGUUGGACCGUCAGUUGGGAAGAGGCCGGGACCUGUUUGUCGGCGGUCGGGAGGUACGCCUUGGACCUCCUUUGGGGUUCAAGGUGACGUAUAGCCGUUCCGUCGUGGUCCCGGUGUCUCUUUCAGGUGCGUUGGAUGUCUGAUCGUCCAGAACAGUAAGAUGCAGUCUCUCUUUCGUGGGGGACCGGGCCCGUUUGGCAGUCGCGAUGCGUUGGUGAGCCGUGUUCCGUUCUCUCUCCGUUUAGCUUCGGCUUGCGGGGCAAGAGUGCGGCACGUCACUCCAGCGACGUUGUCCUGUCCAGGCGGUGUUCCAAGUUGUCUGCGUCGAGGCGACUGGCGAAGAGUCGUUACCCUGUGCCCCGUCUUGAAACACGGACCAAGGAGUGCAAGAGAUGCGCAAGUCGGAAGGGUUGUGACGGGGGUUGCCUCUAGGGGCUUCCUCCUCCCCGAAAGACCCAUGUGUUUAUGGAACGGGCGAAGUGAGAGCAAUUCAUGGGUGCGAGAGCCCGGGGGAGACCCCGGGCGCAUCGCUGGCCGAGCCGUAUGGUCACGCUGUGGCCGGUUUCGAGUGCGAGCGUAUCUGUUGCGACCCGAAAGAUGGUGAACUAUGCCUGAGGAGGGUGAAGCCAGAGGAAACUCUGGUGGAGGCCCGUAGCGGUUCUGACGUGCAAAUCGAUCGUCGCACUUGGGUAUAGGGGCGAAAGACUAAUCGAAC
rnacentral:rRNA from 1 species